AAGUCGUAACAAGGUUUCCGUAGGUGAACCUGCGGAAGGAUCAUUACAGAAAGUAAACGCGGAUCACACCGCGAACUUCUAAACCUUUGACGAUUGACUCAUGUUGCCUCGGCGGGUUCUCCCGCCAGAGGAUACAUUAAAACUCCUGCUUUAACGGUGUUGUCUGAGCUACAAGCAACGAAUCAAAACUUUCAACAACGGAUCUCUUGGUUCUGGCAUCGAUGAAGAACGCAGCGAAAUGCGAUAAGUAGUGUGAAUUGCAGAAUUCAGUGAAUCAUCGAAUCUUUGAACGCACAUUGCGCCCCUUGGUAUCCCGAGGGGCAUGCCUGUUCGAGCGUCAUUUCACCACUCAAGCCUGGCUUGGUGUUGGGCGACGUCCCCUUCAGGGACGCGCCUCGAAACGCUCGGCGGCGUGGCACCGGCUUUAAGCGUAGCAGAAUCUUUCGCUUCAAAAGUCGGGGCCCCGUCUGCCGGAAGACCUACUCGCAAGGUUGACCUCGGAUCAGGCAGGGAUACCCGCUGAACUUAA
rnacentral:rRNA from 1 species